AAGUCCCGGCAGAUGCUAUUCUGCUUAUAGAGGUUUGCAGCCUCAAAGUUCGAAACC
rnacentral:tRNA from 1 species